UUUUUUUUUUAACAGAGUAUGAAUUGAGAUAUAAUUUCCUUUUCAUAAUUAGAAAGCGCUCAGUAAUUAACGCUGGCGGGGGCAGAUGAGGUCAUACUUUAUUCCACCUCUUCCCUGGGGAAGCAGGAGGCAGCGCUCUGGGCAGUGUGCUCGGGAUCAUGGGUGAGGACUCCAAACUGGGAAGGCCAACCUUGCCUUUUUGGGUAAGUUAUUUGGGGGCCGUUCCUGGGAAUAGUGAUGACUGUUGCUAUGGACCUGGCUCUUGACCAAAUGUUCCUCCUGUGACGGUGACACACGCUCUGUGAGGUAGGGGCCCUCCUCACCCCCUUGAGAAGACAAGGGGGCACCGAGGCCCAGAGAGGUUCAGUAGCUUGUCCAAAGGCACACAGCGAGUGCUCUGUCCCUGCCCGCUAAGUCCUUGUCCUUAUCUCACCAUGGCACAGGCAGGCGUGACACGAGGGAGGGGCGUCUGCCAUCUCACUAUUUCUUGUGGUGAUAACUUGUAGGAGGCUGUUUCUAGGUUCUAAGGGAAAGGGGGAAGGAAAUAUCCCCCGAACUCGGGCCUUCUGCCUGGCCCCCCUGACCCACUGAGCCACAGUGGACAAGUGACUCAUGCGCUGGCCUUGGCCUCAGUGGGUUUGGCCACCCAUGGAGAGUGAGGUCACACCUCCAGUGCCCUGAUGUGUUCACAGCCUCCUUCUUCCAACUGCAAAGCAGGCGGGCAACAGGCCUGGUGACCUGAGGUCAGGGACAGGAGAGCGCAGUGUGCUGGGGUGUCCUCGAGCUGAGGCGAGGCUCACUUCUGGCCUAAGAGGCCUCCAGGGGCCUGCGUUAGUCGGCCAGGGCUGCCGUAGCAGAGCACCGCGUUCAGGGUGGUCCAGCUACGGAGACUCGGGGACCUGGGGGCUGAAGCCUGAGAUCAGGAGGACGGCGGGCUUGGCUCCUUCCUCGGGUUCCAGGGACAAUCUGAUGCCUGCUUGUCACAAGGCUUCUGGUGGCUUGCUGGCCGUCUCUAGCCUUCCUUGGCAGCUUGCAGGCAUGCCACCCCACCUCUGCCUUCAUCUUUUUUUUUUAUUUUGGGGGGAUACCAGGGGUUGAACCAAGAGAUGUUUACCCACUGAGCCACAUCCCCAGCCCUAUUUUGUAUUUUAUUUAGAGACAGGGUCUCACUGAGUUGCUUAACGCCUCGGUUUUGCUGAGGCUGGAUUUGAACUCGCAAUCCUCCUGCCUCAGCCUCCUGAGCUCUGGGAUUUAUUUUGAGACAGGGUCUUGCUUAGUUGCUGAGGACAGCCUUCACUUUUCAAUCCUCCUGCUUCAGCCUCUUGACUCACUGGGAUGACAGGCAUGCACCACCACACCCGGAAACAGCAACCCUAGGAUUGCUAUUUCUUCACGCAUAUCUGUCUGUCUGAACUACCUCUCCCCCAAAGGACACCAGUUAUUGGGAUUAGGACCACCCUAAUUCGCUCAUUGUGAUUUGAUUACCUCUGUAAAGACCAUAUUUCUAAAUGAGAUCAGGUUCUGAGGUAGGACUGAGGUAUAGCUUGGGUUAGGACUUGAGUGUAUCUUUUGGGGGACACAAUCCAACCCAUUGUAGGACCCAUUCCUCAGAGACCCCGUAUAUACGCACAGUGGAGCUGUGUGCCUCCCCUGUCCUGGAAGACUCCGUGCCCUGAGGCCUGCCCUCAGAUGUCCCUUUGGCCCAGGUCAGUAGACUGUCUAGCACAGUCCUUGAGAAAAGAAUGAAGGUGGGCUGUUUGGUUUGGUUUGGUUUCUUUCCCUGGAAUUUAACAAGUUGAUUAUGGAGUUGAUAUUAAAUAACAGACAAUCAAAAAUAGCCAGGAAUAUUAAAGAAGGGCUGUCACGGCCUCCUGUCGGCCACCAGGCAGGAACGCACACCUCGAGCCUGUUGGGAAAGUGGACGUGGAAGGCAGAACAGGGGGCACAGGGGAGGUCCAGAGGAGCACCCAAGGACACAGGGGGAAUGUCCACGUCUGGAGUGGCCGGAGCAGGGUCGUCGCUAAGCCACGAGGGGACCAGUGGAUGACCAUUUGGGAAAGCAGUAAAAGUGCAUCCAGACCUCCCACCAAAAACCCAGAGAGACCCCAAGCGCUCCAGAGAUGGGGUUUUCAAAUGGAAUCUUACAACUUCUACAGGAAAACGUGAGGGGAUUCCUCUAUAAACCAGGAGCAAGAAAGUUUUGAGUCUGUCUAGGACUCCAAGUCCAGAAACGAUCCAGUAAAAGCUUUGUAAGUUCAGCUGCAUAAUAAUAAAGCCCAUUUUUUAAGCCAGCUUUUCAUGCCUACAAGCUCCGUAAGACAAAUGGGAGAAGACGUUUGUAACUUGUGAUUUGUACAGAAAUAUUCACAAUUUGUAACUAACUCCUUAAUCUCAUCAGGAAUUAAGGCGUUCUUAAAAGCAGAGGUGAAGAAGCCAAAAAUAUGAUUUCAAAAUGGACCAAAGCCAUGAGCAGAUACUCACGGGAAAAUG
rnacentral:lncRNA from 1 species